ACAGCAGUAGCCACGGGAAUACGUAGGGUGCAAGCGUUAAUCGGAAUUACUGGGCGUAAAGCGUGCGCAGGCGGUUCUAUAAGACAGAUGUGAAAUCCCCGGGCUCAACCUGGGAACUGCAUUUGUGACUGUAGAGCUGGAGUGCGGCUGAGGGGGAUGGAAUUCCGCGUGUAGCAGUGAAAUGCGUAGAUAUGCGGAGGAACACCGAUGGCGAAGGCAAUCCCCUGGGCCUGCACUGACGCUCAUGCACGAAAGCGUGGGGAGCAAACAGGAUUAGAUACCCGGGUAGUCCCUGUCUCUUAUAC
rnacentral:rRNA from 1 species